UCUCCGGGACAGGACUCAGAACUGGAAGAGGGAGGGGCAGCGAGGAAAGGUCCCUGCCUGGCGGUGCUGCCUUCCAUGGGGGCCUUGUGGGGCAGAGGCUGGAACACCCACUUGGGGUUUCUGGUGGGAACUGGGGAGCAGGGUGGGGAGCCUGAGUCCCCUCAGAGGAGGAGUCAUUUUGAAACUGGAGGGAGAGGCUAAAAGAGGAGGCUGUGGAGAGACCUAGUGUUGACCAGGGUCCAGCGUCAGUGUUUAGGUUCUCUAGCUCUUCCCCACCUCCAAUGUCCUCCAUGUCCGCACCAUUCCCACGUGCCUGUGUCCCACCUCUUCUCCCACACACUGUCCCCACUCCCCAUGCCCCAUUCCUCUCCAGAGAAUCACUGGUCUAGAAUAGAGACCUACAAACUUGGGCCCUUAGGCUGGCCCUCCACCUGUUUUUGUCAAUAAAGUUUUAUUGGAA
ensembl:lncRNA novel transcript, sense intronic to ITGB2